GGGGGGGAUGAGGGACAGAUGGGUGGAGGGUGGGGGGGAUUGGGGUGAGGGAGGGGGUGGAUGGACUGGGAUGAUGGAGGGAAGGACGGGGAUGGAUGGAGGAGGGAGAGGGAUGGAUGGAGUGGGUUGAGAUGGAGGAAUGGGGAUGGAUGGAUUAGGAAUAUGAAGGGAUGGAUGGAUGGGGAAUGAGGAUGAGGGAUGGAUGGAGUGGGAUGAGGGAUGGAGGGAUUGGGAUGCAGGGAAGGAUAGGGAUGGAUGGAGGAUGGAGAGAAGGAUGAGGAAUGGGUGGAUUGGGAUACAGGGAUGGGGACGGAUGGAUUGGGAUGGGGAUGAGGGAUGGAUGGGGAUGGAGGGGUUGGGAUGAGAGAUGGGGAUGGGUGGACUGGGAUGAGAUGGAGGACGGAUGGAUUGGGAUAAGGGAUGGGGAUGGAUGGAGGAUGAAGUGGGAUGGGGAGGGAUGGAAUAGGAAUAUGGAGGGGUGGAUGGAUGGAUGGAUGGGGAAUGAGGAGGAGGGAUGGAUGGAUGGAUUGGGAUGAGAUGGAGGAUGGACGGACUGGGCUGAUGGAGGGAAGGACAGGGAUGGAUGGAGGAUGGAUGGAUUGGGAUAAGAGAUGGAUGGAUUGGGAUGAGGGAUGGGGAUGGAGGGAUGGGGAUGGAUGGAUUGGGAUGGGGAUGGAGGGAUGGGGAUGAGGGAUGGAUGGGGAUGGAGGGAUUGGGAUGGGGAUGAGGACGGAGGAAUUGGGAUGGGGCUGAAGGAUGGAUGGGGAUGGAUGAAUUAGGAAUAUGGAGGGAUGGAUGGAUGGAUUGGGAUGAGAUGGAGGAUGGACGGACUGGGCUGAUGGAGGGAAGGACAGGGAUGGAUGGAGGAUGGAUGGAUUGGGAGGAGGAUGAGAGAUGGGUGGAUUGGGAUGGGGAUGGAUGGGGAUGGAGGGAUUGGGAUGGAGGGAUGGGGAUGGAUGGAUUGGGAUAGGGAUGAGGGAUGGAUGGGGAUGGAGGGGUUGGGUUGAUGGAUGCUGGGAUGGGGAUGAGGAUGGAGAGAUUGGGAUGGGGACGGAUGGAUUGGGAUGGGGAUGAGGGAUGGAUGGGGAUGGAUGGAUUGGGAUGGGGAAUGGAUGGGGACGGAUGGAUUGGGAUGGGGAAUGAAUGGGGACGGAUGGAUUGGGAUGGAUGGAUUGGGAUGGGGAAUGGAUGGGGACGGAUGGAUUGGGAUGGAGGGAUGGGGACGGAUGGAUUGGGACGGAUGGAUUGGGAUGGAGGGAUGGGGACGGAUGGAUUGGGACGGAUGGACGGGGAAUAUGGAGGGAUGGAUGGAUGGGAAAUGAGGAAGAGAGACGAUGGAUGGAUGGACGGCUGGGGAUGCAGGGACGGGAGCAGGACGGAGGCCCGGGCAAUGCGGAGGGGGCAGCCCAACACCCCCACACUGCACCCCAUCUGCGCCCCCCCACAGCCCCCCCGAAGCCCAGCGACUGCAGCACGGACGGCUCCACCAAACCCAUCCCCCCCUCCCCAAAGAAAACCCUAUUCAAUAAUUCCUGCCAAUAAAUAACGUUUUCACCUCCGGGUUUUUGGGGGGUUUUUCUUCCCUUUCAACAGAGCUAAAAAAAAAAACCAAUAAAAUAAUAAAAUAAAAUAAAAUAAAAAGCCAGAAAUCCAAUCAAAUCCGAUCCGACCCAAAGGAGGCAGCGCCGGGGCUAUGGGGGGGGGGGGGGGGGCUGCUCUGCACUGAGACCCCCCCCCAGCGCUGCCCCCCCUCCCCAUCGCAUGCAUCUCUGCCAUCACAUGCAAACACCCAAUUGGGGGGCAGCCCCCCGCGCUCCCCUGGGGGUUGGGGUGAGGUGGGGGGGGGAUAUGGGGCUGGGGGGAGGGGGGGCAGAGCUUCCCCAUGGGCUCCUCCACACACGGACCCCCAUUCGGCCCCACAACUGUGCUGGCGGCAAUGGGGGAGGGGCCCAAAAAGCAAAGGAGGCCAAAAAGGUGAAUGUGGGGUGGGGGGGGUAUGAAGGGAAGGACCCCAAAAACAUGGAGUGUGGGGGGGGUCCAAAGGGAAGGACCCCAAAAAGAUGGAGUGGGGGGGAUCCAAAGGGAAGGACCCCAAAAAGAUGGAGUGGGGGGGGUCCAAAGGGAAGGACCCCAAAAAGAUGCAUUUGGGAUGGCGGAUCCAAAGGGAAAGACCCUCAAAAGUGAAGGAUCCCAGAAAGACCUCUGCAGAGUGGGGGAUCCAAAGUGAGGGACCCCAAAAGGAUGAAGAGGUGGAUCCAAAGGAAGGACCCCAAAAGAAUGCAGAUGGGAUGGGGGGAUCCAAGGUGAAGGACCCCAAAAAGUGAAAGACCCCAAAAAGAUGUAUGUGGAGUGGGAGAUGGAAAGUGAAGGACCUCACAAGGAUGCAGAUGGGAUGGGGAUCCAAAGGACCCCAAAGAAUGAAGGUACCCAAAAAGAUGGAGAUGGGAUUUGGGGGGGGAUCCAAAUAGAAGGACCCCCAAAAAGAUGUGUGGAGUGGGGGAUCCAAAGUGAGGGACCCCAAAAGGAUGCAGAUGAAGAGGUGGAUCCAAAGGGAAGGACCCCAAAAAGUGAAGGACCCCAAAAGAAUACAGAUGGGAUGGGAGGAUCCAAAGUGAAGGACCCCAAAGAGAUGGAGGUGGGGGGGGGGGGGUAUCCAAAGAGAAGGACCCAAAGAAAUGAAGUACCCCAAAGGAAUACAGACGGAUGGGGGCAUGCAAAGUGCGGGACCUCAAAAGGAUGCAGAUGGGAUGGGGACCCAAAGGACCCCAAAGAAUGAAGGUACCCAAAAACAUGGAGAUGGGAUGGGGGUGGGGGGUCUAAAAUGAAGGACCCCCAUUAGGAUGUAUUUGGGGUGGGGGACCCAAAGGGAAGGACCCCAAAGAGAUGGAGGUGCGAUGGGGGGAUCCAAAAGGAGCCCAGGAAGAUGUGCAGAUGGAGUGGGGGGGUCCAAAGGGAAGGACCCCAUUGGGACGUGGGGGGGUCGGGGGAUGGGAAGCGCUGCCUCCAUGCUCUGCUUUGGGAUCCGGGGCUGCGCUGAAGGAUGGGGGAGGUGAUGGGAGAGCAGCAGGAGGGCGAGCAGUGCCGUGUGGGUAUGGGCUGAUGGGGGGUAUGGGCUGAUGGGGGGGGUAGGGGCUGACG
rnacentral:lncRNA from 1 species